CCGCUCAGGAGUCGUGGGUGGUCACUGCCUCCUAGGUGGGGUCCGGGAUAACCCCCCCGGCCCACAGGGGGGGAGAACGGGGCCCUCUGUGAGCGCGUGGGAGGUCCCGCCGGACUAAGCACGGGAGACCGGCCGCAUCUCCCGCCAGAGCCUCACGACAGGCCGCAAUCCCAGCCGCCCAGCAGUUUUCAUCGCUGGUAGGACGGAGGCCGGUAAGUGCACCGAGAGUUGUGCACAGGUCCCCUUUGCCUUCUAGUUGCAGCUGGGUGGUUUUUCAGGGGAAAGGAAAUAUUUUUAAGGCUAGGAUUGUGGGUUUCAUGGAGGAGCUGAGGUGCCCCACGUCCAUCCAGCUCGGCGGUCAGGCCCCGCCCCCC